rnacentral:lncRNA from 1 species
UGGGGCAAGACCCAUCCCACAGCUGAGACCCUUAGAGCAGAUUACUCAACACCCCAUUUAAGCCCCUGCGUCCUUAUCUAAACAACGGGAUCAGGGCUUCCACUUGGGAGCUGGUCAAAUUCCACCGUGAACACAACAGGCUUAACGCAAAGCCCGGCUGACGGAAGGACAAGGGGACGCUCCCUCUCUAUGCAGCUGUACUGUCAAAACCAUUCCCUCUCCGGGCUCACUCAUUUCCACCAGGCCCCGAACAAGCCUCCAUGCGGGCAAACACACCCUUGGGCCACGAGCUGUCAUGUUUGGGCUGGAAGACCAUCUUUGCAGAAGGUAAUCCACCCACAGUCAGGAGGCACUUGUCUGACCUCAGCAGAUGUCACAAUUUACCAAAGACCUGUCCCCUCCCUGAUGUCCUGAGAUAUCGGGAGCUCCUGGUCUACCCCACGUACCUGCCUCUACUCCCAGCCUUACUCCAUGAGGGACUAUGGGCCAGUCCACACUUCUCCCCUUCUUGUAGACUCAUAAACGUCUGGCAACAUAAACCAGCUGGGUGAUCGCAGCACAGCCCUGGCUCAGGGCCUGGCUCCUCCGGGCCACCUCCCUGGGCGUGGCAGCGUCUGCUCUGCCCACUGGCCUGUGCUGAUCUCUGCCAUCUGCCUCGCCCUAAACAGUACCUGCUAACACCAGCGUUAGGGGUUGAAUCAUGUCCUCAGUAAUUCAUACCUUGAAGCCCUAACCCCCAGAACCUCAGAAUGUGAUGCUGGAAACAGUGUCAUUGCAGAUGCAAUUAGUUAGAUGAGGUCCUCCUGGGGGAGGGUGGCCCUAAUCCAGUGACGGGCGUCCUUAUAAAAGGGGAGGUUUGGACACAGAGAAGAGACCACAGGGAGGACGCCAUGGAAGACUAGACCUGUGCUGCCACAAGCCGAGGAACCACUGGGAGCCUUGGAGAGGCCUGGACAGACGCUCCCCCAGCGCCUCCAGAGGGAGACGGCCCUGCCACCCCUGGGUCCCGGACUGCUGCCUCCAGGACUGAGCGAGAACUAAGUUCCGUCGUUUAAGCCCCCAGCCUGGGGCGCUUUGAUAUGGCAGCCCCAGGACACUGACACAACCGAGACCUUUAGAUACAUAGAUAGUCUGCCAUCUGUGUAGCAUGCACUCUGAGGAAUAAAGUGUAGCUUAGCACCUCUAGUUGUUUCCUUCUUGUUUUUUUCUGAAGCUAAAUGAAAGCACAGCCUCAUCUAAUCUUUGCAUCGUCCGGGUAAUUAGCUCCAGGAUGAUCAAGGCAGAGUUGCUCAUAAACAUUUCUUAAUUUUUCAUCAGGACACUUCUCCCAAAGAAUUCAUCACAGACCGUUUCAAAGAGCAAACUCCCCUGGAACAUUUUAAAAUAGGAUUCAAUUUACAAGCAUCUGUGACCGGCCACUUUGCACGAAGUCGGGUUCACCUGUGCCCCUCCGCUGGGGGUAGCGUCCUCGGGGUGCACACGAAGCCGGGUUCACCUGUACCCCUCCGCUGGGGGCAGCGUCCUCGGGGUGCCGCGUGCGUCCUGCAGACGCGCAGACGGCAGACGUGCAGACGCUGCUGGCUGGCCUGUGGUUUUUCCUCUGUUACCGCAGCGGGAAAAUCGUGGCGUGUCACUGCCGCAAUUAAUCCUGUAUUUUCGUAGCUGAAGUCACAAUGCUCGUUUCAGGAUAGAGUUGGAGUGAGGAGAGCCUAUCUAUAUCUGUAAAUGAAUGAUAUCAUUAUUUUGGGAAAUGAAAGUUUAAGCUCUGCAAAGCCUGCGAUCCCGUGGAGAUCUCCGCGGAGGAACUUGGGCGCGCAGGUGUUCAACGUGAUAAGCGCACCGUGACAUGAUACGCCGUGGUACACGUGUUCCUGGAGCGGCGGCAGCUGUGGACUUCUCCACAGUAUAUUUCACUCUUUCUUCCCCCU